CGGAGCUCGUGAAUUUCCGUCGGAAUCUGGGAGGACAAUCUCCUAAGGCUAAAUACUCUCUAGUGACCGAUAGUGAACCAGUACCGUGAGGGAAAGGUGAAAAGCACCCCGGUAGGGGAGUGAAAUAGAACCUGAAACCGUGUGCUUACAAGUAGUCAGAGCCCGUUAAUGGGUGUUGGCGUGCCUUUUGUAGAAUGAACCGGCGAGUUACGAUUUGAUGCAAGGUUAAGAAGUA
rnacentral:rRNA from 1 species